rnacentral:rRNA from 1 species
CGACGAGCUAACCCGUUGACCUCGGAUCAGGUAGGGAUACCCGCUGAACUUAAGCAUAUCAAUAAGCGGAGGAAAAGAAACCAACAGGGAUUGCCUCAGUAACGGCGAGUGAAGUGGCAACAGCUCAGAUUUGGAAUCUGGCUCCGUGAUGGGGUCCGAGUUGUAGUCUGCAGAGGAUGCUUCGGGGGACGAUCGGGCCCAAGUUCCUUGGAAGAGGGCGUCAGAGAGGGUGAGAGUCCCGUCUGCGGCCUGGCUCUGUCCCCCGUGCGAAGCUCCCUCGACGAGUCGAGUUGUUUGGGAAUGCAGCUCAAACCGGGUGGUAAAUCUCAUCUAAAGCUAAAUAUCCGCCGGAGACCGAUAGCGCACAAGUAGAGUGAUCGAAAGAUGAAAAGCACUUUGAAAAGAGAGUUAAACAGCACGUGAAAUUGUUGAAAGGGAAGCGUUCGCGAUCAGACUUGCCCCCGGCCCCUCAGCCGACGGUGAACGCCGUUGGCCCAUUGGGCUGCAGGUAGGCCAGCAUCGGUCUGGGUGGCGGAAGAAGGACCCUGGGAAUGUGGCUCCCUUCGGGGUGUGUUAUAGUCCAAGGUGCGACGUCGUCCCCCGGAUCGAGGCCUGCGCUCCGGCAAGGAUGCUGGCGUAAUGGUCGCCAGCGACCCGUCUUGAAACACGGACCAAGGAGUCUAACAUCCACGCGAGUGUUUGGGUGUCAAACCCCGACGCGUAAUGAAAGUGAACGGAGGUGGGAACCUGCUCGGGUGCACCAUCGACCGAUCCUGAUGUCUUCGGAUGGAUUUGAGUACGAGCGUGGCUGUUGGGACCCGAAAGAUGGUGAACUAUGCCUGAAUAGGGUGAAGCCAGAGGAAACUCUGGUGGAGGCUCGCAGCGGUUCUGACAUGCAAAUCGAUCGUCAAAUUUGGGUAUAGGGGCGAAAGACUAAUCGAACCAUCUAGUAACUGGUUCCUGCCGAAGUUUCCCUCAGGAUAGCAGUAACGCGUGGCAGUUUUAUGAGGUAAAGCGAAUGAUUAGAGGCCUUGGGGUUGAAACAACCUUAACCUAUUCUCAAACUUUGAAUAUGUAAGAAGUCCUUGUUGCUUGGUUGAACGUGGACAUUCGAAUGUACCGUUACUAGUGGGCCAUUUUUGGUAAGCAGAACUGGCGAUGCGGGAUGAACCGAACGCGGGGUUAAGGUGCCGGAAUGCACGCUCAUCAGACACCACAAAAGGUGUUGGUUCAUCUAGACAGCAGGACGGUGGCCAUGGAAGUCGGAACCCGCUAAGGAGUGUGUAACAACUCACCUGCCGAAUGAACUAGCCCUGAAAAUGGAUGGCGCUCAAGCGUGCUACCCAUACCCCGCCGCCAGGGUAGGAACAAUGCCCUGGCGAGUAGGCAGGCGUGGGGGUCCGUGACGAAGCCUUGGGAGCGAUCCCGGGUCGAACGACCCCUAGUGCAGAUCUUGGUGGUAGUAAAGGGC